CUUCCCUGAAUAUGCAGUAAGAAAGUGAACAAGUUUUUACAGCUAUCAAGAAAAAACAAACAGGUAUCUCAUUGCUCUGUAAUUCUGAUGGGGCUGAUGCUGAAGACAUUGCUUUUCUCAAGAAGAAGAAGGUAUUUUACUGGCUGCCUGGGAAAGGCCUGAUCUAGUAGAUCCUGACUUGGAGGAAAAAAUGACCAGAGUAUUUUUUUUCCUUUUAAGGUAGUAGAGUCAGCAAAGAUAGCUAAAUCCUGUACAAUUAUGAGUGAUACUCUGAUGCUUACAAAAUGGGGGAAAUAGCUAAUAGGAGAAAUAAGAAGCCCCAGAAUUACUAUCUUUUGUGGAAGGUCUGUCUAGCAUGUCCAGCAGCAUGUGCAACAGGAGAGAAUGACUGUGUACAGACAUGAGGACAGAGAAAUGGAGGUUGAUUGUUUUGUCCUUCUCCAAACAGGGGCAGGUGGGAAUAUGCUGAAGCAGAAGCACCAAAGUGAGAAGAAGGUCUUCUAAGGUAUUUCAAAUCAAAGGAAAGUAAACCAAGACAGAACAGAUGCUUGAAAUACAGAAUAAUCUUCAGUGUGUAUCCCAAAGAUAAGAGUGAGGAAUCUCAAAGCUACGUUUCUGCAACAAGAAUGCCAAGUAAAAAAAGAGUGCUUGUCCCUCAGCGAGCUCACAUCACUGCCAUGCCACAAGGAGAAGCAAAACUGAAGAAAUUAUAUCCCGUGGAGCACAAAGAUUUCCCACCAUCCUACAGGUAUUUUAACAGAACAAACUCAAUCAAAUGCUCCAUUCACUUCUUAUGAACAGCUAUAUAUUAGCUGUCUUGUUGGAAAAUGUUGUUCAAAUGUUUCAACUGUUGGCACCAAUUUCCAGAAUUUAAAAAAUUCAGCCUUCUGAUGAUGUUGCAAAAGCUCACACUUUCCUUAGAGGAACCUAGGUUUAAAUAGACAUCAGUAACAGAGCAAUUGUCAGCACUUAGGUAUUGACAUAGCUCUGUUUCCACUGAAGUUAGAUCACUAAUUCUUUUAAAAAUUCCAUCCAGUAUAGCCUCUCUUUCAAACUCCGUUUUAUGCGGGAUGAGGCAUAACACUUUGUUGAUUGUAAACUAAAUGUGCUCUUUCUCCCUGUGUACUGACUAACCAUGCAGAAAUUCUUUGUUUUAGAAUUUAAAAUUACAAUCCAGACUGUUUGGAAAUGUGUAAAAUGCAAAGCUCUAGCAUAUGGUGAAAAACACACAGCUGCAUUUAUACACUAAAUAAAGAUCUUGUUUUUACUUCAGUUUUACCACCAGAUGCAGGUACAAACAGAAUGAAUCUGUUGAAGUCAGUGACAUUAUGUAGCAGUUACACUGGGGAAUGGUCAGAAUCAGGAGCUUUUUUAUUUUGUCCAGCUCUUAGCCUGUUUGUGAGAUGUUGUAACACAGGUACUAAGGGAAGGAGCUAGGAUCACUGUGAAAAUUAAAGUGUCAUCUUUUAUUCUGUGUGGAAGGGUCUGCAUUAUUAAUUUGAAUAUUCACUGCUAUCUGUGAUACUCCAGUGCAUUAUUUUAGAUCACAAUCUGCCCGAGCUCUCUGGAAUUUGCUUUCAGGUGUUUGUAUUUCUGUGCCACUUGAAACAAU
ensembl:lncRNA